AGCAUGUAGGCGGAGGUUCCAGGUAAAUCCGGUACCUUUUAACGCUGAGGUGUGAUGACGAGGCACUACGGUGCUGAAGUAACAAAUGCCCUGCUUCCAGGAAAAGCCUCUAAGCAUCAGGUAACACGAAAUCGUACCCCAAACCGACACAGGUGGUCAGGUAGAGAAUACCAAGGCGCUUGAGAGAACUCGGGUGAAGGAACUAGGCAAAAUGGUGCCGUAACUUCGGGAGAAGGCACGCUGAUAUGUAGGUGA
rnacentral:rRNA from 1 species